rnacentral:rRNA from 1 species
AUUGAACGCUGGCGGCAGGCCUAACACAUGCAAGUCGAGCGGAUGAAGAGAGCUUGCUCUCUGAUUUAGCGGCGGACGGGUGAGUAAUGCCUAGGAAUCUGCCUGGUAGUGGGGGAUAACGUUCCGAAAGGAACGCUAAUACCGCAUACGUCCUACGGGAGAAAGCAGGGGACCUUCGGGCCUUGCGCUAUCAGAUGAGCCUAGGUCGGAUUAGCUAGUUGGUGAGGUAAUGGCUCACCAAGGCGACGAUCCGUAACUGGUCUGAGAGGAUGAACAGUCACACUGGAACUGAGACACGGUCCAGACUCCUACGGGAGGCAGCAGUGGGGAAUAUUGGACAAUGGGCGAAAGCCUGAUCCAGCCAUGCCGCGUGUGUGAAGAAGGUCUUCGGAUUGUAAAGCACUUUAAGUUGGGAGGAAGGGUAGUAAGUUAAUACCUUGCUGUUUUGACGUUACCGACAGAAUAAGCACCGGCUAACUUCGUGCCAGCCGCCGCGGUAAGAC